AUGGUAAUUAGUUUAAACCAAAACAAAUGAUUUCGACUCAUUAAACUAUGAUUAACUUCAUAAUUACCAA
rnacentral:tRNA from 2 species